CGGAGGGUGCAAGCGUUAUCCGGAUUCACUGGGUUUAAAGGGUGCGUAGGAGGGCAGGUAAGUCAGUGGUGAAAUCUCCAAGCUUAACUUGGAAACUGCCGUUGAUACUAUCUGUCUUGAAUAUUGUGGAGGUGAGCGGAAUAUGUCAUGUAGCGGUGAAAUGCUUAGAUAUGACAUAGAACACCAAUUGCGAAGGCAGCUCACUACACAAUCAUUGACUCUGGGGCACGAAAGCGUGGGGAUCAAACAGGAUUAGAUACCCUGGUAGUCCACGCCCUAAACUAUGGAUACUCGACAUACGCGAUAUACAGUGUGUGUCUGAGCGAAAGCAUUAAGUAUCCCACCUGGGAAGUACGACCGCAAGGUUG
rnacentral:rRNA from 1 species